UACGUAGGGACCAAGCGUUGUUCGGAUUUACUGGGCGUAAAGGGCGCGUAGGCGGCAUUUCAAGUCAUCUGUGAAAUCUCCGGGCUUAACUCGGAACGGUCAGAUGAUACUGCUUUGCUAGAGUGCGGAAGGGGCAAUCGGAAUUCUUGGUGUAGCGGUGAAAUGCGCAGAUAUCGGGAAGAACACCCGUGGCGAAGGCGGCUCUCUGGAACGCAACUGACGCUGAGACGCGAAAGCGUGGGGAGCAAACAGG
rnacentral:rRNA from 1 species